GCGCUCCUAAGCGGGAGGGAGAUCCGCCGCGGAGUUACGGGAAAGUUGGUCCGAGUUCCCAGAGUUUCCCUCUGUGGUGCCCUAGGCUCGGCCGGCCGGUGCCCCGGCUCCUUUCCUCCUUUCGGCCUUCGCCGUCCGCCAGGUCCCUCUCUCUGCCCCCGGCCGCCAUGGAGCAGCCGCCGGCGCCUAAGAGUAAACUAAAAAAGCUGAGUGAAGACAGUUUGACUAAGCAGCCUGAAGAAGUUUUUGAUGUAUUAGAGAAGCUUGGAGAAGGGUCUUAUGGAAGUGUAUUUAAAGCAAUACACAAGGAAUCCGGUCAAGUUGUCGCAAUUAAACAAGUACCUGUUGAAUCAGAUCUUCAGGAAAUAAUCAAAGAAAUUUCCAUAAUGCAGCAAUGUGACAGCCCAUAUGUUGUAAAGUACUAUGGCAGUUAUUUUAAGAAUACAGACCUCUGGAUUGUUAUGGAGUACUGUGGCGCUGGCUCUGUCUCAGACAUAAUUAGAUUACGAAACAAGACAUUAACAGAAGAUGAAAUUGCAACCAUUCUUAAAUCUACAUUGAAAGGACUAGAAUAUUUGCACUUUAUGAGAAAAAUACACAGAGAUAUAAAAGCUGGAAAUAUUCUCCUCAAUACAGAAGGACAUGCAAAAUUGGCAGAUUUUGGAGUGGCUGGUCAGUUAACAGAUACAAUGGCAAAACGCAAUACUGUAAUAGGAACUCCAUUUUGGAUGGCUCCUGAGGUGAUUCAAGAAAUAGGCUAUAACUGUGUGGCUGACAUCUGGUCGCUUGGCAUUACUUCUAUAGAAAUGGCUGAAGGAAAACCUCCUUAUGCUGAUAUACAUCCAAUGAGGGCUAUUUUUAUGAUUCCCACAAAUCCACCACCAACAUUCAGAAAGCCAGAACUUUGGUCCGAUGAUUUCACCGAUUUUGUUAAAAAGUGUUUGGUGAAGAAUCCUGAGCAGAGAGCUACUGCAACACAACUUUUACAGCAUCCUUUUAUCAAGAAUGCAAAACCUGUAUCAAUAUUAAGAGACCUGAUUACAGAAGCUAUGGAGAUCAAAGCUAAAAGACAUGAGGAACAGCAACGAGAAUUGGAAGAGGAAGAAGAAAAUUCGGAUGAAGAUGAGCUGGAUUCCCACACCAUGGUGAAGACUAGUGUGGAGAGUGUGGGCACCAUGCGGGCCACAAGCACGAUGAGUGAAGGGGCCCAGACCAUGAUUGAACAUAAUAGCACGAUGUUGGAAUCCGACUUGGGGACCAUGGUGAUAAACAGUGAGGAUGAGGAAGAAGAAGAUGGAACUAUGAAAAGAAAUGCAGCCUCACCACAAGUACAAAGACCAUCUUUCAUGGACUACUUUGAUAAGCAAGACUUCAAGAAUAAGAGUCACGAAAACUGUAAUCAGAACAUGCAUGAACCCUUCCCUAUGUCCAAAAACGUUUUUCCUGAUAACUGGAAAGUUCCUCAAGAUGGAGACUUUGACUUUAUAGAGCCUUACUGGGCCCGUGCAGAUUUUCCACUUCCUCGGCUGUGGCCCUUGGCAUCUGCGGUUAUAUUCAACAGGAGCACCAACGGUGGCCAAGAAGUCACUAGGAUGGUGACUAAAGGGGAGGAGCUGAGCUACACACCACUUGAUGGAACGCAAAGACUGUGGUGAGGUUGGAGAGCAGUGCUGUGCGGGGCAAGGUUAACACAGAUUUCUACACCCUUUUGCUGCAUACACCGACAAGGCCACCUGCAGAUGCCACCACUGCUCAGUCAGUGGAAGGUGAGGCUUGGAGAGGCCACAGGAUGUGCCUACAAUCACAGAGCUGAAGGCAAAAGCCAGCAGAACCAAGUCAGCCCAGUGGCCUUCCUACCGAUUCACCAUGGCCUUUGGACCGGCCCAUACUCAGUCUAUUUUAAGUAGUGCCAAGAAGUGUCUCUAUGUAUCCCCCAGCAGUAUUCAUGCCCAACCAGCCAGGACACUCAGGGUUCCCCAGUUUACUAUUAGGGAGCUACUUCGGCAGCAGGGAGAGUGGUACUUUGGGACAGGUUGGGGCUGGCAGGGCAGGCUGACAGAGGUGCUGAGCAGGAAAGCAUGCAGGAGGAAAAUCCUGCAGGGGUGUCUGUUUCACAAGAGUCACAAGAAUACAGGACCAUUCCUUCUACAAAGGAGGCUAGUGGUUCCAGAUCCUAGAAAACCAGGACUCCGCCUUUACCAAGAAUGAACAACAGCUUCUCCUUCCCCAAAUUGCAAAAACAAACAAACAAAAAAAACACCCAGGCUUUCUCAGGAAAUCUGGUCCCCAACUUUGAAUGCCCUCCUUGUUUGCUACUGCAUAUGUAAUUGAAGUGCCUCCAAGAGAUGCAAAUAAUUUUUGUCUAUUUAAUCUGCACACUUUUUGAGGCUGGAGUCCCGAGUGUGUCAGUAUUACUGCCCAUUCCCGAAUCGAGGCACAGAGAUGAAAGUGCAGCAAUCAGACAUAAUGGUUCAGUGCAGCCUGCGUCAAUGCUUGCACAGUAGUGUGUUAAUGAGUGUUAAAACCGACAUCUCAAAUAUGGCGUCCUCAAUUUUAAAAAUUACAGCUCUGUAAGAAGUCAUGCUGUUAAAACACACAAGAAAUACCAGUUAAGCCUUCAAGUAGCUAACACACAGCCUGUACAGAUCACCACUAUCCCAAAGUGCAUAACAACUUAUUUUCUUUGAAAUGAGGCAAGAAUUAGCAGGUAGUUCAAUUAUUUGAGUGCUAAGAUAAGUAGAAAUAACAAAUCCAAAUGUUAAAUACCAAUUACUACCUUACGAGCCACAAAUCAGCUUGGCAUUACAACAUGCCCUUCCUCACUCACAAACCCGAGAAAUGUGGGGGUUUGGCAGAAAACACAAACCUAUAACCAAUAUGCAUUUGUGCAACAGACGUGUCACUUCCCAACCUAGCACUUCCAAAAUGCGCAUCACAGAUAUCAAAGCCUGGCCCACUAGCAUUGAAAACAAUAACCUUCAAAUGCUGGGAGUGACACUUCUCUCAAGCUCACAGCUGGAAACAAGUCAUCUCCAGUUUCUACUCUGUCCCCCUAAAGGAGGUUUACAGGUCAGUCUGACAGCCUGGUUGCCAAAGAUGUCACCUCAUAUUUUUACAGAAAAUUAACCUGACCCUCCCUGGUUAGCUUCAGGGACUAAAAGAAACUGCUGGUUAGAUGUUAUCUAGCAAGGUCAAUCAAAGACCCGGUGGAGAGCACCUGUAAACUUCAAACCUUAGUGAGACUUUAGGGGAGAGGAAGAUUAUUUCUCCCUGGGUCACCAUUCAGUCUACAUCCCUUGUGGGAUUCAAGCCAGCCGGGUUGUUCUCUCUCGCACUUAUCUGAAACCACCACUUGAAAAACUCAAUGCUAUUGGGACAUUCUCAUGCUCAGAAGUGAGUAAAGGUCCAGUUGGGCAAGAUAAUAUUUUAUAUAAGUAUAUAUGUAUGUAAAAGAGAUGUUAAAAAGAUAGUCUCUAAAGCACGUUGGGAUUCCUCCAAUGAAAGGCACCAGAUAAAUGCAAGUCAUUACCAAAAAGAAAAGUCAAGUUUUCCAGCUUUCACAUCUGCAAAGAGUAACCACUAGGGUACCUCUUUUUUGGUGGUAAGCCUUCUUGUUUAGAAGAAUCUUCAUGAGAGUGACUGAGUUAUUCUGCCUCGUUCCUUGCUUCCACUUUGCAUAAGCUUCCUGGUCAGCGGCCAUGGAUACCAGGCUCAGUGACCCAAUACCAUCAGCCUUGGCAAACUGAUCGGUCCUCAUAAGUCUGUACCACCACCUGCCUUCACUGCAGCUGGGGAUGAGUCUGUAAAUGUUAUGCCUUCCAGGGCUGGAAGCACCGGCCAAAUCUAAGUGUUCCAUGUGCAAAUUCUGAAAAAUAACCCUGCUCCUCUGAUUCAGUACCCAGUUGCCUCUAAGUCGUCUCACUUUUCCUGAAGCUUCAGAGACACGGAUGUAGACACUAGGAGACAGCCACCUCCCAGCCUCCCACGAGCCUCCAGUCCAAUGGAAAUAUUUGAACUGGGGGCUCCAGGACACAAGUGGCUAGUGAAUUCAUUCAAUAAAUCACCCACACUGUAGUAGCCAUGACAACUACAAGAACACAAAGCCUUCUGAUAAGAUCCUUGCCACACCUCCAUGAGGUAAGUAUCAUCUUCAAUCAACUGAAACACAAAAGGACCUCUUAAGAAGAGGCCCAACCUUUGGAUGAAAAGCCUGGAUGGCUCCAUGCUCAGACCCCUGGGUUCUAUUGCCUUUUCAAAGAUGGAACAAUAAUGAAAGCCACCUGGAAAACCAUCAGAUUACCUUAAAGAUGAUGAAGAAGAAUUAUCUUAUAGAGGAACCCAGGUUCCCCAUCACAAUGUUAUGUGCUGGUUAACUGAACAAGAGGAGCAGGAGCAUUUUGGAGGAGGAAACAGUCGUCUCCCUUCAAUACAAGUUUGGAAGCUUGAAGGUCUUUUGAAUAGCAUUAAGCUUUUCAAGUUUACAAUUUUUUAUGACAUUUUAUGAACUAGCAGUUUUUUAUUUUGCAACUCUUUCCUUUCUCCUGGCCUCUACCCAGUCACCCCCCAUGAAAGGCAGUGGGAAUGCAAGUAAGAACUGCAGCAUUUCCAUCCUGGGUAAGCCACACCACCAUCAUGCACGUCUAUAUUUUGAGUACAUGCUUCCAUACCACCAGGUUUCCAUGUCAUGGCAGGAACUCCAGGGCAAUCACAGCAUCAUAUACAACAUACUAUAUCCUAGAAGCAAAAUUAUCUGAGUAAAUUCUGCUUGGAAAUAAAAGGGCUCUCAUGUGAUGAGCUUUCAGAGUAGGCAACAAAAGUAUUUAAGCUACUGCCCUUGCUAGCAACCCAACAACGUUCACCUCAGGGAGACGAUACAACAGUAAACUUCUUUUUAGUUGAGGAAGACAACACGACCUUACUCCUAAACAUCUUAAAAAAUAAAUAUUUCAAAAACA